UCUUCGUCUCUGUGUUUAUUCUGCCUAGAAGACAGAGUCAUGUUGCUGCACUUCAACCCUGCCGUCUUGGCGAAGUUUGCUCAAAUCAGAUUUUGUGACGUCUGAUAAGCUCCACUGCUUCUGACUUCAGAGGUUUUUGCUGCACUCGGGGUGGUGCAAAAAAUGGCACCAUUCUUGGCCUCCUUUGAAAAUUUUAACUAGCGGCAUUUUCUAGUCGGUAGCUACGAAACGAGGGACGGUGGACGGUGCAUCAGGAUUUGCUGUCGAUUCUUUUUCUGCCGAAAGUUGCCAAGAAGCUUUUACUGUGUUUCUUGCUAUCUAAUGUUGAGUGGCCCAAAAGAAAAAAAGACACCAUCAACCAUUUUCACAGACUUUCAUUGGAACAAAGGAAAGAGAGAGAGAAAGAAAAAGAACAAAGCAAAGCAACCAGUUCAAAUAGAAUCUUAAGAAUGUAAGCACGAAUAGUAAAAAGGGGACGUGGGAACUUAUCUGACAAUUGAUCAAAGCUUGAAGAGCACAAAAGUUGGCGGCAACAACAGUCAACAGCCUCCCACUUUCUAAGAUUGCUUGCUCAAGUGAGCAUCUCAGGCUCAGAGACACCAUGGUACAUACUGAUCUGAUGCAAACUGCAACUGUGGUUGGAAUACUCAUUUGAGCAAGAAACUUUAAAAAGGGGAACUUUAAUCUCUAUGCCCCUCUUCCUUCUCCUCGCCCCCCUUCCCCUCUCUCUCACUGUGUGUGAAUCUAGCAAUACCGCACAAAUACAAUUCCAUAUCCCAUAGUUCCAUAACAUAUAUAAUAUCUAGGAAGUGCAGGAUUGUCUAAAAGCCACAGCCCAAAGUGGCCACCGAAUGAGAGCUAAAUUGCCCACUUUCUCGUGUAUUUGUAAGCAAGUCCUAUUUGGAUGCAAUUUGAGUCGAGGAACACUAACUAGGCUGCCCUAAAUGACU